UCUCAAUGGGGUUUCCACAGAAGCCCAGGGCAUCUGCUGAGCUCCUCUGGCGUGGCAGGGCUGAGCUCCCAGCUGGGCUUCCCCCGCUGGCUGGCUGCUGAAAGCUGCCCACGUCCUCUGGUUCCUUCCAGUUGUCUCUUCCCACCCCCACCCCAGAUCCCAGCCCUGGCAGUCUGAAACCCAGCUCUACCCAGUCAGCCCAGGACACGGCCACUUUCUGCUUGAGCGCUCUGGGGACAGGCUGACCACCUGCAGGUCCCCCUCAUUUAUUUUCUUUCUCUGAAGGGCACUGGUUGCUUUCCAGAACCUUCAGGGAGCUGUUGUGGUUUUUAAAGACCUUUUGUCCUCGUCAGGUGUAGUGGUGCACCGUCUGUAGUGCCAGCCACUCAGGAGUCCAGGCAAGAGGGUCACAAGUUCAACGACAGUCUGGGCAACUUAGUGAGACUGUCCCCAAAGGGCUGGGACGUAGCUCAGUGGGAGAGCACUCCUGGACUAAAUCUCCAGUGCCGGCCCCCCUCCACCCCCCAAAAAAUUCUUUUUCUGUCCUGAGUUUGUAACCAUCUUAGGCUGGGUGGUUAAUCUGACAGACAUGUCUCUGUUACUACUUGAAGUAUUUUUAAUAUUUAAUGUAACUAAUAAUACCCCAAAUUAAUUCUAUUCUCUGUUCCAAAGUGGUGAGUCCGCUCUUGGUCUGUUUUCUCCCUACUCACUCUCUCACCCUCGAGUUAACCUGGGCCUUAGUUCUCCAUCGCUCACUUCAGCCACACGGAGACGUGACUUACCUGGGAAUGACGGGCUGCGUGGCUCACCACCGCCCACUGGACACCUGUCCUCCUACUUCUUGGGUUGCUUGGUCUUCCUGGGCUGUAAUGUGUGUUAGCUUUCCAUUACCACAACAAAUACCUGAGACAAAUUAACUCAUCAAGAGAAAAAGGUUGUUUUGGCUUACAUCUGGAGGUUUUAGCCCAUGACUGAUUUAAGAAAUUCACAGAGUAAAUCUAAGUGUGAUGAACUUUAAGGUUUUGUAUGCCUCAAAGUUCCUUUGAACUAAUUUGACCAAGACUUUGGGUUCCAAAUGAUUUUUUCUUAGAACCUGAUGAUACUGCUCAUUUUCCUCCAGCCUCCUGUGUUGCUGGAGCUCAUAUAAUUCAUUUUCAUUUGUAGGUGACUUUUUGUACUUUUUAAAAUUUCUUUGAAGGUUUAUUCUUUUUAUUCUUGGGGGUUUAAA
rnacentral:lncRNA from 1 species